GAUGAACGCUAGCGGCAGGCCUAAUACAUGCAAGUCGAACGGGAUCCAGAUCAAAGCUUGCUUUGGUUUGGUGAGAGUGGCGCACGGGUGCGUAACGCGUGAGCAACCUACCCUUGUCAGGGGGAUAGCCCGGCGAAAGUCGGAUUAAUACCGCAUGACAUCAUUGAGAGGCAUCUUUCGAUGAUCAAAGAUUUAUCGGACAAGGAUGGGCUCGCGUGACAUUAGCUAGUUGGUAAGGUAACGGCUUACCAAGGCUACGAUGUCUAGGGGCUCUGAGAGGAGAAUCCCCCACACUGGUACUGAGACACGGACCAGACUCCUACGGGAGGCAGCAGUAAGGAAUAUUGGUCAAUGGACGGAAGUCUGAACCAGCCAUGCCGCGUGCAGGAAGACGGCCCUAUGGGUUGUAAACUGCUUUUAUACGGGAACAAACGUCGGUACGUGUACCGGUCUGAGUGUACCGUAAGAAUAAGAAUCGGCUAACUCCGUG
rnacentral:rRNA from 1 species